GACGAACGCUGGCGGCGUGCUUAAUACAUGCAAGUCGAACGGAAAGGCCCUGAUCUUGCUGCUUGCUCGUUAGCCGAGCAGGGGUGUAACACGUGAGUAUCCUCCCCUUGUCUUUGUGAUAUCAUCACGAAACUCCGGCGAAUAUCGCGUAUGAUCUCUUGCUGCACGGUGGGGGUUGGUAAGUGUCGGCGGUGGGGGAUGGUGUCGCGGGUUAUCAGCUUGUUUGUGGGGUAGUGGCUGACCAAGGCUUUGACGGGUAGCCGGCCUGGGAGGGUGACCGGGCACAUUGGGACUGCGAUACGGACCAGAAUCCAACGGGAGGCAGCGGUGGGGAAUAUUGCGCAAUGGGCCGAAGCCUGAUGCAGAAACGCCGGGUGCGGGAUGACGGCCUUCGGGUUGUAAACAGCUUUCGCCUGUGACGAAGCGUGAGUGACGGUAAUGGGUAAAAAAGCACCGGCUAACUACGUG
rnacentral:rRNA from 1 species